rnacentral:rRNA from 1 species
AUUAUUUUAAAUGUAAAAUUUAUAUACUAAAUUAUUAAUAGUUAUGUUCUUUAAAUUUAAAGAUUUUGGCGGUAUUUUAGUCUAUUCAGAGGAACCUGUUCUAUAAUUGAUAAUCCACGAUUAAUUAUACUUAAUUUAAAAAUUUGUAUAUCGUUGUUUAUAAAUAAUUUUAAAAGAAUUUAAAUUUUUAAGAUUUUAAAUUAGAAAAUAUAUCAGAUCAAGGUGCAGUUUAUAUUUAAGUAGUAAUGGGUUACAAUAAAUUUAUUUAUAUGGAUUUAUAUAUUAAAUUAUAUAAUAAAGGUGGAUUUGAUUGUAAUAAAAUUAAAUUUAAUUUUAUGAUUUUAGCUCUAAAAUAUGU